GCCGCGUUAACUCAGUUGGCAGAGUGUCGCUCUUGUAAAGCGAAUGUCGUCGGUUCGAUUCCGACACGCGGCUCCA
rnacentral:tRNA from 1 species